rnacentral:lncRNA from 1 species
CCCUUUCCAUCGCAUCUGGCAUGUGGCUCGCGCAGACGAAAAACCUAAAGGUAAAAACAAAUUAUUACGCAGAUGAGAGAAAGAAGGUUAAAAUGGUAGGCCAACGCUGUACAGCCGCCGGUGUAAAGCCUUCUCAGCUCCUGGCUAGAACCGUGUGAAUGGGAGUGGAACGGCAUCUGAGAGCAACCCCAUCGAUGUCCAAGGCGAUGCCAGAAGGAGGACUGACAGAGUAGGCGAUGUCGGUUCAGUUGUGACCUCAGAAACAGGGCGGGAAACUCGAAACCCUCAUGGAGAUGAUAGCUCCACAGGCGAUGUCGCCUGCAUGGGAUGCCCUGAUGGAGACGAUGUGCCCGCAGGAUCUCAGAGGGAGACGAUGAUGCCCUUAGCGCGAACAGAGGAACAUCAUUCCUUGCCACGGUGGAAGUGGACCGACGCACCACCUUGUAGCAAAAUAAGAUUUUGAGGAGGACAGUGCGCGUGUGAGGCGAUACGUAUGCUUGGUGAAGUCGGUCGGUAAUUCUAGAGCUCUACUGGCGAUUCGCUCAUGUUUGGGUUCUUCUUACCCGUCGUCAAUCUUGUCCAUCCAGGUCGGACAGAUGUGCUGUCGCUUUGACCACGUGCGCCUCACUGUGGGGCACAUGGCGAAGCCGGCCCUCCCUGCCCCAAUAUCCGCCGGCACUACGGCGCGGGAGGGCCUCAUGAUGUCCCUCUUCCGCUGCAUGCCAUAAAUGAAAGCGGGCCACGCCGAGCAGCCCAUCGGCAUGAUCGUUCUUCUCCCAGAGAACUCCAAAAAUCUUAAGAGAUUCGACUGGUGUGGAGUGGACCACCAUCCAAGACCAGCCGGCGAGACUGAGAAGCUUAAGACCGAAGGAAAUCCGUCAAAUCUCCAUACAUACUGACCUGUGCGACGCCGGAGAGCAGCACGCUUGUCCUCUCCAGUCUCCAGUCCGCGAAUAGUUCACCCUCCAGCCGUAGGAGCUCCCGGAGAUGGCGUACGGAGCGGCGGCGGACCGCGGACGGCGGAAGUCGACGAGCAGCCAUUAGCCGAGGAGAGGCCAGAUUAAGGUGAAGAUUCUGAGGAUGCUCUUCAAGUCGGUCGUCGCGGUGGCGUCAGUCCCCGCGAGGAGGGGCGGAGGGAGGUUUUCAGGUUUUCUUCGUCCUCCGAAGAUGAAGAACCCUGCCUGAGCUGGUUGUCUCCACCGAUAAUCCCCUCGACUGGGUCGCCGCCGGCGUGGGGAAGACGGCCGGGGCUGUCGCUCCCCUUCUUGUUCAUAAUCUCAGAAUCUAGAUCGUCUUCAUUCAUUCUCGGGCAAUGGUGGGGGAUCCGUACUUAUUUGUCCCCACGAGUCUGUCUAUUAACGAUUUGCCCUUCCGUCUAAAACCAUGAGCGCGCCCAUAGGAUCACCUCUCCUGGUUUUUUCAGACGCCCGCGGGGGAGCCAAACGAUUCGGAGAAUCUCGGGUUCGCGAGCUCUAGCUCAAUGGAGUAGAAUCGGUCGACGAGUGGACCCCCCCUCUACCUAGAGGCUGAAAACUUUAUAGCUUUUCUCUGAUGGGACGUAGAGCUUAUCCGCGUGUCAAUGUAUUGCGUCACUACCCAUAAGAGGGGGGGCAUUAAAUAGGGGAUUGGGGAGGGGGGUGCGAGUAGCCUACGCAGAAUUGCUCCUCUCCGGCUCCCCCACCGUCGCCGCCCCCGCCGCCGCCGCAGCCGUCUGCUCGUCUCGUAUCUUCGUCCGCUCUCCCCCUCUCCGGCGGUCUUUGAUGGAGAGAAUGGAUCUCCCCCAGUCGGAAUCUGCGAGGGGUGGGAGAGGGAACCCGUACCCUCGGAGGGUGGAGGUCAAGCACAAGAUAAUGGCGGAAUUCGCCGUGUCUCUCUGCUGCGCCAGUCAGGACGGCAGCAAGAGCUCCGGAGACGGUCGCAGCCGGGGAAGCUCAUCCGAAUCGAUUUCCCGGCGAGGGAACUCGCCGAGAUGAUGGCUCCUUCGCCUCUCGCCAGCCUUGCCCCGUAAACUCAUUCCGAUUUCUUCUGGCUCUUCCUCGUCUCAAAGUCUCCUCGUCUGCCUGUGUGUGAUAUAGAGGCCGAUCCCUUCCCGGUCCUGUCCAUCUCGUUCCGCAGAACGCUUGAAAUUCAGACGACGUUCCUUCUCUUCAAACUGCGACGAUCAACUCCUCGUGUUCAACAGGGAAGGGGGGGGGGGGGGG